rnacentral:rRNA from 1 species
CCUACGGGGGGCAGCAGUGGGGGAUAUUGCACAAUGGGGGGAACCCUGAUGCAGCGACGCCGCGUGGGUGAAGAAGCGCCUCGGCGCGUAAAGCCCUGUCAGCAGGGAAGAAAAUGACGGUACCUGAAGAAGAAGCCCCGGCUAACUACGUGCCAGCAGCCGCGGGAAUACGUAGGGGGCAAGCGUUAUCCGGAUUUACUGGGUGUAAAGGGGGCGCAGACGGCGAUGCAAGCCAGGAGUGAAAGCCCGGGGCCCAACCCCGGGACUGCUCUUGGAACUGCGUGGCUGGAGUGCAGGAGGGGCAGGCGGAAUUCCUGGUGUAGAGGUGAAAUGCGUAGAUAUCAGGAGGAACACCGGUGGCGAAGGUGGCCUGCUGGACUGCAACUGACGUUGAGGCCCGAAAGCGUGGGGAGCAAACAGGAUUAGAUACCCCUGUAGUC